rnacentral:rRNA from 1 species
GUUUGAUCCUGGCUCAGGAUGAACGCUAGCGGAAGGCCUAAUACAUGCAAGUCGAGGGGUAACAGGGUCUUCGGACCGCUGACGACCGGCGAACGGGUGAGUUACGCGUACGCAACUUGCCUUCAAGCGGAGGAUAGCCCCGGGAAACUGGGAUUAAUACUCCAUGGUAUCAUGAAACCGCAUGGUUUUAUGAUUAAAGAUCAGUCGCUUGAAGAUAGGCGUGCGUGCUAUUAGCUAGUUGGUAAGGUAACGGCUUACCAAGGCUACGAUAGCUAGGGGGCGUGAGAGCGUGGCCCCCCACACGGGUACUGAGACACGGACCCGACUCCUACGGGAGGCAGCAGUAAGGAAUAUUGGACAAUGGGCGCAAGCCUGAUCCAGC